rnacentral:rRNA from 1 species
GACGUAGGGUCCAAGCGUUGUCCGGAUUUACUGGGCGUAAAGAGCGCGUAGGCGGUCCGUUAAGUGUAGAGUGAAAGCUCCGGGCUCAACUCGGAAAUUGCUCUGCAUACUGGCGGACUCGAGGAUGGCAGAGGUUUGUGGAAUUCCUGGUGUAGCGGUGAAAUGCGUAGAUAUCAGGAGGAACACCCAUGGCAAAGGCAGCAAACUGGGCCAUAUCUGACGCUGAGGCGCGAAAGCGUGGGUAGCAAACAGG